UUACCCCUCUCGCCUUUUUAGUAGUAUAAAACACUUUAUAAGCAUUUCGUAGUGUUAUUGAAUGUUUGAAAGCCGCUUGCAGCGUAGCAAGCUGGGAUGUAAACGAAUAGAAUGGAGACCUCAUCUAAAGAAGAGUACACGAUCCAGUCGUUUGAUUUGGAGACACAGAAACUCCUCAAAACUGCCUUGAAAGAUCCAGGUUCAGUUGACCUGGAGAAAGUGUCCAAUGUAAUAGUGGACCAGUCUCUGAAGGACCAGAUCUUCAG